GAUUUCUGACUGGACAGGUCUGGCCCGCCGGGGUUACCCGUGUGUGUGCUGGAUCGCGACCGUCAUCCUUUCGGCAUUUCUGUGGCAGCGCUCUUCACUGAGUGUUGUUCAUGGGCCGAUCCUUUACUUUGAAAAAAUUAGAGUGUUUCAAGCAGGCUUUAUGCUAUGAAUACAUUAGCAUGGAAUAAUAAUUUAGGACUUCGGUUCUAUUUUGUUGGUUUCUAGGACUGAAGUAAUGAUUGAUAGGGAUAGUUGGGGGUGCUAGUAUUCAGCGGCCAGAGGUGAAAUUCUCGGAUUCGCUGAAGACUAACUUAUGCGAAAGCAUU
rnacentral:rRNA from 2 species